GGAUGAACGCUGGCGGCGUGCUUAACACAUGCAAGUCGAACGAACCUUCGGGUUAGUGGCGGACGGGUGAGUAACGCGUGGGAACCUGCCCUCAGGAGGGGGAUAACGGCUGGAAACGGCCGCUAAUACCCCAUAUGCCGAGAGGUGAAAUGAAUUUCGCCUGAGGAUGGGCCCGCGUCUGAUUAGCUAGUUGGUGGGGUAAAGGCCUACCAAGGCGACGAUCAGUAGCUGGUCUGAGAGGAUGAUCAGCCACACUGGGACUGAGACACGGCCCAGACUCCUACGGGAGGCAGCAGUGGGGAAUUUUCCGCAAUGGGCGAAAGCCUGACGGAGCAACGCCGCGUGAGGGAUGAAGGCCUCUGGGCUGUAAACCUCUUUUCUCAAGGAAGAAGACAUGACGGUACUUGAGGAAUAAGCCACGGCUAAUUCCGUGCCAGCAGCCGCGGUAAUACGGGAGUGGCAAGCGUUAUCCGGAAUUAUUGGGCGUAAAGCGUCCGCAGGUGGCCUUGAAAGUCUGUCGUUAAAGCGUGGAGCUUAACUCCAUUUAAGCGAUGGAAACUACAAGGCUAGAGUGUGGUAGGGGCAGAGGGAAUUCCCGGUGUAGCGGUGAAAUGCGUAGAUAUCGGGAAGAACACCAGUGGCGAAGGCGCUCUGCUGGGCCAUCACUGACACUCAUGGACGAAAGCCAGGGGAGCGAAAGGGAUUAGAUACCCCUGUAGUCCUGGCCGUAAACGAUGAACACUAGGUGUCGGGGGAAUCGACCCCCUCGGUGUCGUAGCCAACGCGUUAAGUGUUCCGCCUGGGGAGUACGCACGCAAGUGUGAAACUCAAAGGAAUUGACGGGGGCCCGCACAAGCGGUGGAGUAUGUGGUUUAAUUCGAUGCAACGCGAAGAACCUUACCAGGGUUUGACAUCCUGCGAAUCCCUUGGAAACGAGGGAGUGCCUUCGGGAGCGCAGAGACAGGUGGUGCAUGGCUGUCGUCAGCUCGUGUCGUGAGAUGUUGGGUUAAGUCCCGCAACGAGCGCAACCCACGUCGUUAGUUGCCAGCAUUCAGUUGGGCACUCUAGCGAGACCGCCGGUGAUAAACCGGAGGAAGGUGUGGAUGACGUCAAGUCAUCAUGCCCCUUAAAUCCUGGGCUACACACGUACUACAAUGCUACGGACAAAGGGCAGCAAACUCGCGAGAGCUAGCAAAUCCCAUAAACCGUGGCUCAGUUCAGAUCGUAGGCUGCAACUCGCCUACGUGAAGGAGGAAUCGCUAGUAAUCGCAGGUCAGCAUACUGCGGUGAAUACGUUCCCGGGCCUUGUACACACCGCCCGUCACACCAUGGAAGUUGGCCACGCCCGAAGUCGUUACUCCAACCCUUGUGGAGGAGGACGCCGAAGGUGGGGCUGAUGACUGGGGUGAAGUCGUAACAAGGUA
rnacentral:rRNA from 1 species